AAGGAGGCCUGGCUUUGAACAGCUCUCCCAGGCCCUGUGGAAACUGCUGCCCGGGGACAAUGCUUUGAGCGCUGGCUGCACAUGUCUCUACCAAGUCACUUUCCCUUGGACCAGACAUCAACUUCAAGGAAGAACAGUGUUCUGGAUCUGACCACAGGCUGGUGUCACCUGAUUUGGCCUGACUGGUUACCUGCGUACAGAGGAGCUGACAUUCACCAUAUGGUUUGCUCUGCUGCAGGCUCUUCUAUGAGACCUGAGAUGAGAGUUGUAACAGCCUCUUGAGACCAGAAUCUCUCCCUCUGGGCCGAGGCACCUAAGAAGAAAAGAUCUGAGCCAGUGGUUGGUCUAGGGGUCCACACACACCACGUAAGACCCCCGGAGUGGAGGAGAGGAUAAAACUAUGGCUGAGACAAACCUCAAGUGACUGUGGCCAGCUGCUCAUGGCCUGCGGGACUCUG